rnacentral:rRNA from 1 species
AGAGUUUGAUCCUGGCUCAGAUCCCCAAUUGCUGGCGGCAUGCCUUACACAUGCAAGUCGAACGGCAGCACGGACUUCGGUCUGGUGGCGAGUGGCGAACGGGUGAGUAAAGCAUCGGAACGUGCCCGAUCGUGGGGGAUAACGCAGCGAAAGCUGCGCUAAUACCGCAUAAGAUCUACGGAUGAAAGCGGGGGACUCGCAAGAGCCUCGCGCGAACGGAGCGGCCGAUGUCAGAUUAGGUAGUUGGUGGGGUAAAGGCCCACCAAGCCGACGAUCUGUAGCUGGUCUGAGAGGACGACCAGCCACACUGGGACUGAGACACGGCCCAGACUCCUACGGGAGGCAGCAGUGGGGAAUUUUGGACAAUGGGCGCAAGCCUGAUCCAGCCAUGCCGCGUGCAGGAAGAAGGCCUUCGGGUUGUAAACUGCUUUUGUACGGAGCGAAAAAGCCACCAUUAAUACUGGGGGCUCAUGACGGUACCGUAAGAAUAAGCACCGGCUAACUACGUGCCAGCAGCCGCGGUAAUACGUAGGGUGCAAGCGUUAAUCGGAAUUACUGGGCGUAAAGCGUGCGCAGGC